rnacentral:lncRNA from 1 species
AAGUUUGUAAGUUUGUACGAGAACCCACCCCUAUAUAUAUAUAUAUAGCGUUAAAUUCUAUGGAGACCAUUAUUUCAUCGGAGACCGCGGAGACCAGUUAUGUUCUGCGUGUAAAACAUUAUAAAAUGUAUUAUCUUAUAAAACAUAUGCUAGCAGACCACUAUUCCAUUAAAUAUCUUGAAACUUAUGUAAGUUUUGCAAGUAAAAUAUUGCAAAACAUAUUGUUCUGCAAAACAUGUUUUGCAAAGUACAAAACAUGUUCUACUCAUAGAACAUACAUAAUUUUAAUGAUUUUCAAUAAAAUAGUGAUCCUUUAUACUACGUUUUGUGAAAGGACACAUUUUUCAAUAUUUUAAUUGAAAAAUAUGCAUGGUCUCCACGGUCUCUGAUGAAAGAGCGGUCCACAUAGAACUUUUGUCAUAUAUAUAUAUGUAUAUAUGUAUGCAUGUAUGUAUGUAUGUAUGUAUGUAUGUAUGUAUGUAUGUAUGUGUGUUGUGUUCACAAUACUCAUCACUUUGAAAUAAACCUUUAAAAAUUCAUUUUCAGUGGUAACUGAGAUUCAAGAGCUUAGUAUUGAAAGAUAUUUCUGACUAGAAUGACACCCAAAAUAGACGUGGAUUCGUGGAAUGUGUAUUAGGAGUUUGUAGUGUUUGAAUUAAGAAUUACACAAGAUGUUAUUUUUUAGGGAAAAUAGAUUUUUUUGCCACCCAACUUAUUAUUUGUUUAGAAACUUACCACUGAACUAUAAUUUUUUUCUUUUUUGUCAUUAAUGUUAGGUUCGAACUUUUCUUUGUCACUAACGUUAGGUUCGGAUUUGAUUAUUAACACUAUGUUAUUUUUUUUAGUAUUAUUAAAAUAUAGUGUUAGUCUGCAACAUAAUGGCGAUAUGAUAUGUGUCUAUAUCUUUAUGUAGUGUCCUAGGUAGUUUAACUUGGCAGACGAGAGUUGGACACGCAUUUUGAGACUCCAAAAAAUUUCAAAAAUUAUUUUAUUUUAUUUUUUUUGAAUAAAAUUUAAUGUUGGGUUUUUUUCCUUAAAAAAACGUUGGAUUUUUUUUUUGUCACUAACGUUAUGUUUUGAUUUGAUUAUUAACAAUAUGUUAUUUUUUUAGCAUUAUAAAAACAUAGUGCUAGUCUGCAAUAUUAUGGUGAUAUGAUAUGUGUCUAUAACAUUAUAUACAGUCAUCUAUAUGUCCCUUAGCUAGUUUAUCUUGAAGUAUGAGAGUUUAACAGGCAUUUUAAGAACCUAAAAAAUUUGGUUUUAUGAAUUAUUUUAAGACUCCACAAAUAUAUAGUAUCACUUGACUUUAUAGUUCUUUACUACUACUUGUCACGUAUUUUAAGGUUCUCACUUUUUAUAAAUAUAGUUCCAUAAGUUAAUUUUGAGAUUUCCUUUCUGAGUAAAAAAAAUCCGUACUCUCGUCAUCUAAGAUAAACUACCUAGGACACAUAUGGAGUACUACAUAUAAAGAUAUAGACACAGAUCACCAUUAUAUUGCAGACUAAUGAAAAAUAUCAUUUAGAUGGUCGGAAAAUUUAAAUAAAGGUCUGAUUUUAAUUAAAUAUAAUAAAAUUUCCCAAAAUGCCCCUUCAAAAGUUAACGGUAAUGGCUGAAGAUAACGGAAAGGGUGCAAAGUGUCUACGGGUUAAAAGUAAGGGGCUGCAUAGUGUUUAUUCCAAAACUAUUAGGUGCAAUGUGCAACAUGCUGAAAUCAAAGGGGUGCCAAAUGCAAUUAACUCUAAAAAGAAUAACAUAGUGUUAAUAAUCAAAUCCGAACCUAACGUUAGUGACAAAAAAAA